rnacentral:rRNA from 1 species
CACGCAGGCGGUCCUGUCAGUCAGAUGUGAAAGCCCGGGGCUCAACCCCGGACGUGCAUUUGAAACAGCAGGACUUGAGUAUGGGAGAGGAAAGGGGAAUUCCUGGUGUAGAGGUGAAAUUCGUAGAUAUCAGGAGGAACACCGGUGGCGAAGGCGCCUUUCUGGACCAAUACUGACGCUGAGGCGCGAAAGCGUGGGUAGCGAACAGGAUUAGAUACCCUGGUAGUCC